ACCACCACACAAAGGUGACCAACAUUCUUCUGUUACACGUUUGCUUUGCUUUCCUGCUCUAUUGAACGUGAUGCUACUGAUGUCAUGUUUGUCAAUGCAUAUUCUUCUCAUUCGCAAUUUUUACCCUAUGUUACCCAAUGUCUGUGUCAUGCAAGUAUGGUUGUAAGCUGAAGCACUGAGUAAUUUUUAUGUUUUUAAUUUUUGUCUUCAACUUCGCUUCACUUUUCAUUACAACAGGUAGGCAUCGUCAAGUAGGCAUCGUAGGUCAAGUCAUCUUGCAUAGUUUGGCACUAACAUCUUUAUGGAAUAACCUGUUGCAAGUUAUGUGACUGGUUUGAUGGGUUCUUGUACCUUUUUCAGGUUGGCAGAUGCCUCCACCCCCAUCAUACGUGUCAACGCCUCAGAUGCGCAUAGGCACCAGUCCAUCAAGGUCUUCCUAUUCCAGUCGACCACCAAGCUGGUUCACAUGGGAAGAAUCCCUAGAGGGAUCAUCAUACCCAUCAGUUCAAGAAAGGACCCAUGGUAAUGAGGAGGGGGCUUCAGUCUUGGACGUCGUAAAGAAAC